AUGUGUAUGAAAAAUGCAAUGAACAGCCAGCGUUCAGGGAUUGUUGUUCCAUUUGUGGAAGAUGGAAGAUCAUGUGACAACCAAGGCACAAAACAGGAAGUGUUUCGGUGUGGCCAUGCCGCUCAGACUGCAGUUGCAUGAUGGGAGCAAGUGACUAUCCAACUCCACCUUGUGACUUUGGCCUUUUUUUUAAAUCACUAAAUGAUGUGUGCCCCCGAUGCCCUGAGUUACAGAUUAGUUUUACUGCUUUAUACAAGAAGAGGUUCCCCCCCCCCCCACACCAAAUAAAGCUUCCUUUUGAUAAAGGAACUUUCCGCCCUCUGUUACCCGGUGAGCCCACGCCAGUGUAAUCUUUUUUUCAAAUGAUAUUGCAACACAACGUGAGGCUGUGGAACAGCCAAUGAAAGCCGAGAUAUCGGUCAUUUACAAAGACGCCUUUCUGGCUGAUGGCUUAGUCAGAAAAGCAGGAAAUGAAAGCAUGUUCCAGAAUGGCUUCGCUGCACAACUCCAUAAAACAUCAACAAAGGACAGUUUUUUUUUUUAAAUCUGUUAGGUCCGAUAACACCCGGAUGUUCUUUAAAAGGUAUUUUGUAAACCCUAUUCAAAGCUCUAAUACAAUAAAUAAAUCCGAAACCUUCAUACAC